AGCGAACGUUUGCGGCGGGCCUAACACAUGCAAGUCGAACGGGCUACUUCGGUAGUCAGUGGCGCACGGGUGCGUAACACGUGGGUAAUCAACCCUCUAGACUGGGAUAACCCGGGGAAACUCGAGCUAAUACCAGAUGUGUCGCCCUGAUCCUCGGAUCGGGUCGAGAAAAGGUCGCAAGGCCUGUUAGAGGACGAGCCCGCGGCCCAUCAGCUUGUUGGUGAGGUAAUGGCUCACCAAGACUAAGACGGGUAGCUGGUCUGAGAGGAUGGCCAGCCACACUGGAACUGAGACACGGUCCAGACUCCUACGGGAGGCAGCAGUGGGGAAUAUUGCGCAAUGGGCGAAAGCCUGACGCAGCCACGCCGCGUGAGCGAUGAAGGCCU
rnacentral:rRNA from 1 species